rnacentral:lncRNA from 1 species
AGAUAGCAAUUCAUUUUAUUAUUUUAUUUGCAUCAUUUAAUCUUAGACCUUUAGUGAAAACUCUCUCACACUCUCUCUCUCUCUCAGUUCCUCAAGUACUUCCCCUUCCAACAGUUCGGUGUGAGUGUUUGUGUUUGUGUGUGUGUGUGUGUGUGUGUGUGUGUGUGUGUGUGUGUGUGUGUGUGUGUGUGUGUGUGUGUGUGUGUGUGUGUGUGUGUGUGUCUGUGUAUGUGUGUGUGUGUGUGUGUGUGUGUGUGUGUGUGUGUAUGUGCACAUGUCCGCUACCCGUUUUCCCAGAAUACAUGUGACAUGCGCUGAGAGGGGCGGUUCAGCUAAGUUACUUCCUCAUCUGAACCGUCCGUCGCAGCGAGGAGCCUUUCUUCCUCCCCUUUGAAAACCUUUCACAUGAUUAAUGAGUUUCAAAAACACUUUAACCUCAGUUUCUUCCCUUACAUUUAUACUUUUAUAACUUUUUACCGUAUGGGACGGAACGUAUUUUCUCCAGUCUACUAUGGAUGAGGAGAGGGAGGAGGGGGGUCCUACCUCUAAGACCACUCUGUCUGAGGAACAUGGCCGCCAGAGCAAAGCUAAGAGGUCUCCAGUAUACUAUGGAUGAGGAGAGAGAAGAGGGGGGUCCUACCUCUAAGACCACUCUGUCUGGGGAACAUGGCCGCCGGAGCAAAGCUAAGAGGUAAGAAGAGGAUCUCUCUGUCUGUGACUGUUGUCCAUCUCAGAGCUCAGCAGUGAUACAUCAUGACUCCAUCAUUAGUCUGAGUAAAAGCUGUGUGUGUGUGUGUGUGUGUGUGUGUGUGUGUAUGUGUGUGUGUGUGUGUGUGUGUGUGUGUGUGUGUGUGUGUGUGUGUGUGUGUUGAAGCCCAGAGAAGCAGCAGAGAGCAGACUCCCCUGGACCCAGCUGUGUCUCCAUGAAGAGUGACCGCUCUAUGGA